rnacentral:rRNA from 1 species
UACAGAGGGGGCGAGCGUUGUUCGGAAUUACUGGGCGUAAAGGGCGCGUAGGCGGCCCGCUAAGUCGAACGUGAAAUCCCCAGGCUCAACCUGGGAACUGCGUCCGAUACUGGCAGGCUUGAAUCCGGGAGAGGGAUGUGGAAUUCCAGGUGUAGCGGUGAAAUGCGUAGAUAUCUGGAGGAACACCGGUGGCGAAGGCAGCCCCCUGGGUUAACACUGACGCUCAGGCACGAAAGCGUGGGGAGCAAACAGG